UUAGUGGCGAACGGGUGAGUAAUACGUGAGUAACCUGCCCUUGACUCUGGGAUAAGCCUGGGAAACCGGGUCUAAUACUGGAUACUACUUCCUGCCGCAUGGUGGGGGGUGGAAAGGGUUUUACUGGUUUUGGAUGGGCUCACGGCCUAUCAGCUUGUUGGUGGGGUAAUGGCUCACCAAGGCGACGACGGGUAGCCGGCCUGAGAGGGUGACCGGCCACACUGGGACUGAGACACGGCCCAGACUCCUACGGGAGGCAGCAGUGGGGAAUAUUGCACAAUGGGCGGAAGCCUGAUGCAGCGACGCCGCGUGAGGGAUGACGGCCUUCGGGUUGUAAACCUCUUUCAGCAGGGAAGAAGCCACAAGUGACGGUACCUGCAGAAGAAGCGCCGGCUAACUACGUGCCAGCAGCCGCGGUAAUACGUAGGGCGCAAGCGUUGUCCGGAAUUAUUGGGCGUAAAGAGCUCGUAGGCGGUUUGUCGCGUCUGCUGUGAAAGCCCGGGGCUCAACCCCGGGUCUGCAGUGGGUACGGGCAGACUAGAGUGCAGUAGGGGAGACUGGAAUUCCUGGUGUAGCGGUGAAAUGCGCAGAUAUCAGGAGGAACACCGAUGGCGAAGGCAGGUCUCUGGGCUGUUACUGACGCUGAGGAGCGAAAGCAUGGGGAGCGAAC
rnacentral:rRNA from 2 species